rnacentral:rRNA from 1 species
CUGAACCUUCGGGGAACGAUAACGGCGUCGAGCGGCGGACGGGUGAGUAAUGCCUAGGAAAUUGCCCUGAUGUGGGGGAUAACCAUUGGAAACGAUGGCUAAUACCGCAUGAUGCCUACGGGCCAAAGAGGGGGACCUUCGGGCCUCUCGCGUCAGGAUAUGCCUAGGUGGGAUUAGCUAGUUGGUGAGGUAAGGGCUCACCAAGGCGACGAUCCCUAGCUGGUCUGAGAGGAUGAUCAGCCACACUGGAACUGAGACACGGUCCAGACUCCUACGGGAGGCAGCAGUGGGGAAUAUUGCACAAUGGGCGCAAGCCUGAUGCAGCCAUGCCGCGUGUAUGAAGAAGGCCUUCGGGUUGUAAAGUACUUUCAGUCGUGAGGAAGGCGGCGUCGUUAAUAGCGGCGUUGUUUGACGUUAGCGACAGAAGAAGCACCGGCUAACUCCGUGCCAGCAGCCGCGGUAAUACGGAGGGUGCGAGCGUUAAUCGGAAUUACUGGGCGUAAAGCGCAUGCAGGUGGUUUGUUAAGUCAGA